CUAGAGAACUCGGGUGAAGGAACUAGGCAAAAUGGCACCGUAACUUCGGGAGAAGGUGCACCGCUUUUGGUGAUGGGAUUUACUCCCUAAGCUGAGGGCGGUCGAAGAUACCAGGCCCCUGCAACUGUUUAUUAAAAACACAGCACUCUGCAAACACGUAAGUGGACGUAUAGGGUGUGACGCCUGCCCGGUGCCGGAAGGUUAAUUGAUGGGGUUAGCGCAAGCGAAGCUCUUGAUCGAAGCCCCGGUAAACGGCGGCCGUAACAAUAACGGUCCUAAGGUAGCGAAAUUCCUUGUCGGGUAAGUUCCGACCUGCACGAAUGGCGUAAUGAUGGGGGCGCUGUCUCCACCCGAGACUCAGUGAAAUUGAAAUCGCGGUUAAGAUGCCGUGCACCCGCGGCUAGACGGAAAGACCCCGUGAACCUUUACUAUAGCUUUGCACUGAACUUUGAACCUAUCUGUGUAGGAUAGGUGGGAGGCUUUGAAGUCGAGACGCUAGUUUCGAUGGAGCCGUCCUUGAAAUACCACCCUGGUAUGUUUGAGGUUCUAACGUCGGCCCCUUAUCGGGGUUACGGACAGUGUAUGGUGGGUAGUUUGACUGGGGCGGUCUCCUCCCAAAGAGUAACGGAGGAGCACGAAGGUGUGCUAAUCAUGGUCGGAAAUCAUGAGGUUAGUGUAAAGGCAAAAGCACGCUUGACUGCGAGACAGACAUGUCGAGCAGGUACGAAAGUAGGUCUUAGUGAUCCGGUGGUUCUGUAUGGAAGGGCCAUCGCUCAACGGAUAAAAGGUACUCCGGGGAUAACAGGCUGAUACCGCCCAAGAGUUCACAUCGACGGCGGUGUUUGGCACCUCGAUGUCGGCUCAUCACAUCCUGGGGCUGAAGCCGGUCCCAAGGGUAUGGCUGUUCGCCAUUUAAAGUGGUACGCGAGCUGGGUUUAGAACGUCGUGAGACAGUUCGGUCCCUAUCUGCCGUGGGCGUUGGAGAUUUGAGAAGAGUUGUUCCUAGUACGAGAGGACCGGAAUGAACGAACCUCUGGUGUUCGGGUUGUCAUGCCAAUGGCAUUGCCCGGUAGCUACGUUCGGACGGGAUAACCGCUGAAAGCAUCUAAGCGGGAAGCCUCCUUCAAGAUGAGAUCUCCCUGGGACUUUAAGUCCCCUAAAGAGCCGUUGAAGACUACGACGUUGAUAGGUUGGGUGUGGAAGCGCAGCGAUGCGUUGAGCUAACCAAUACUAAUUGCUCGUGCGGCUUGACCG
rnacentral:rRNA from 1 species